rnacentral:rRNA from 1 species
GAUGAAUGCUGGCGGCGUGCUUAACACAUGCAAGUCGAGCGGAAACGCGCGGCGCUUGUGGGGUGUCCGAGUGGCGAACACGGGUGUGUAACGUGAAUAACCUUCCCUUAACUUUGGGAUAAAUUCAGGGAAAUGGGGCCAAUAGCGGCUAGUGGCUCCUGGUGCAUAGUGGUGAUUGGCAAGGUUCGGUGGUUGGGUUUGGUCUCGCGGUUUGUCGGGUUGUUGGUGGGGUAGUGGCCUACCAAGGCUUGGACGGGUAGCCGGCCUGGGAGGGGGACCAGCCACACUGGGACUGAGAUACGGCACAGACUCGUACGGGAGGCAGCAGUGGAGAAUAUUACACAAUGGGCGGAAGCCUGAUGCAGCAGCGCCGCGUGCGGGAAAACGGGCUGCGGUUUGUAAACCGCUCUCGCCUGAGACGUAGAGUAUGUGACGGUAAUGGAUAAAGAAGCACCGGCUAACUACGUG